UUCCGGUUGAUCCUGCCAGACCCGACUGCUAUCAGAGUAGGACUAAGCCAUGCGAGUCAACGUAUGAAUAAUACGUGGCGAACGGCUCAGUAGCACGUAGUCAACAUGCCCAAAGGACGUGGAUAACCUCGGGAAACUGAGGAUAAACCGCGAUAGGUCAUAAUUACUGGAAUGUGUUAUGGCUCAAAUCUAUAUGGCCUUUGGAUUGGACUGCGGCCGAUCAGGCUGUUGGUGAGGUAAUGGCCCACCAAACCUGUAACCGGUACGGGCUCUGAGAGGAGGAGCCCGGAGAUGGGCACUGAGACAAGGGCCCAGGCCCUAUGGGGCGCAGCAGGCGCGAAACCUCUGCAAUGGGCGAAAGCCUGACAGGGUUACUCUGAGUGAUUUCCGCUAAGGGAAUCUUUUGGCACCUCUAAAAAUGGUGCAGAAUAAGGGGUGGGCAAGUCUGGUGUCACCCGCCGCGGUAAUACCAGCACCCCGAGUGGUCGGGACGAUUAUUGGGCCUAAAGCAUCCGUAGCCGGUCUUGCAAGUCUUCCGUUAAAUCCACCCUGCUUAACAGAUGGGCUGCGGAGGAUACUAUAAGGCUAGGAGGCGGGAGAGGCAAGCGGUACUCAGUGGGUAGGGGUAAAAUCCUCUGAUCCAUGAAGACCACCAGUGGCGAAGGCGG
rnacentral:rRNA from 1 species